UACGUAGGGUGCAAGCGUUGUCCGGAAUUAUUGGGCGUAAAGAGCUCGUAGGCGGUCUGUCGCGUCUGCUGUGAAAAUCCAGGGCUCAACCCUGGACCUGCAGUGGGUACGGGCAGACUAGAGUGCGGUAGGGGAGAUCGGAAUUCCUGGUGUAGCGGUGAAAUGCGCAGAUAUCAGGAGGAACACCGGUGGCGAAGGCGGAUCUCUGGGCCGUAACUGACGCUGAGGAGCGAAAGCAUGGGGAGCGAACAGGA
rnacentral:rRNA from 1 species